GGGGGUGACAGGCUUCGACAGGGACUGCGGGUGCAAGAAUAGCAUACCGGGGAGAUUACCUAUCCCGUUAAAAAUGGUGAUAUCAAAAUUAAUUGCAGAUGAAAAUCUCGCAUUAGCUGCCUAAUAAAGUAGCUACAUUUGGACUGAAGUUGCCAUUUGCUUCUAUUCAAAUGCCGAUUAAAAUGGCUUUGAUAUUGUGAUGUCUAUAAGCAAUAUUGAAAUUUAUAGACUGGUUCUGUUCAGAUUUGUCUGCUGUUCUGUUCAGAAUGAGAAAAUACAACAGAAUAAGUAUGUAGAAGUUCUUGCAACCAAAUCUCUGGACGCGGGUUCGAUUCCCGCCACCUCCACCA
rnacentral:tmRNA from 1 species